GAGUGCAAGCCGCAGCCCGCUUGAUUUCGGCCCGGGACUUAAAAUCCCCCGCUCGUAAGGGCGUGCCGGUUCGAUUCCGGCUUCGGGCACCA
rnacentral:tRNA from 1 species